ensembl:lncRNA
CAGAAUCACACAAUCAGUCAUAGGAGUUGGAAGAGACCUCUGGAGAUCGAGUCCACCGCCCUGCUGCUAAAGCGGGUUUGCAACAUCAGGUUGCACAGGCAGGCAUCCAGACAGGUCUUGAAUAUCUCCAGAGAAGGAGACUCCACGACGACAUCUGUUAACUUUUACAAACAUGCUGGAAAAAAAAAUAAUGAUAAGAAAUAAGAAAGAUUAGCUCUUUGAUUUCCCAUCCUUAUGCAAGAACUGCUUAUUCUCUGCACUUCCAAUCUCAAUAUCUUGUUGGAUUUCUGCUGGGCCAACAGGUGGAGAUGGCACACAGAUCCCCAGUGAUGUGCUCUGUCCAGGCUAAGUCUGGGUCUGGAAGUUGCCAGAUUUAAGAAUGAGUUUGCUACAGACAAAGACUCUGUUCACCUGAAGGUCUCAGCAGGAACUGGAGGUUCCCUUCACACGUACAAGAUGCUACUGACAAGACGAGGCCUGCAUCCUGCUCAGGAGAACACCUCAGUGCCUUCCACUGGAGGACUGUGAGGACUACAAAAGCCUUCCAGACAUUCUAAGAAGAGAAAAUGGGAAGAAAGCAGUACCAAGAAAAGCAAACUAUCUGAAUAUCUGAGAGGAGAGAGGAGACUCCUGUGGAGAUUCCAGGCAUGGUCACGCUACCUUACUAUUAAGCUCAGGCAAUAUCCCGGAAGCAAUGAAAACAACUACACGAAGUUCACACUGAAGGAAGUAGGUGGUCGCAGAGCAUGGAUUACAUGCGGUAGUUUGCACAUGGAUGUUUCUAUAUUUCAAAGGAAGGACUGUAAUAUUACUCCCAACUCCAGCCUUUUGGGUUUUCGUCCAGAUGGAUUCAAUCCCAAGCCACUGAGGAAAUGAAGCUAACCAAACACAAGGAGAUAAAUUACUCGAUACAAGGAGUUAAUAAAGCUUUGUUACUAAAUCCAGAGCUAAGCAUACAAGACUAAAAACACAGAAGCUGUAUGUUUCUACAUAGUAUGCUAUGAUGAAGUUUAGUCACCCUCUUGAAGACAUAUGAGGCCAUUAGACACCUGGGUUGUAGCUGUAGUUCAGGAAAAGCUGAGCAUCAAAGGUGAGGAUCUAGAAAAGCUAGCUGUAAGGGUGGUUAAGUCAGCCAGCAGGACACCAUUUGUGUCAUAUGGCUCUCCAAAUCAAGGUGCUUAACAUGAGGCACUGGGGAGAAAGUUUCAGAGACCAAUAUUGCCAAGAAAUCUCUGUACCACUGGGCACCUUUUCCAAAAACACAGGAGGAAGUAAAGAUGUUUUUCCUUUACCCAGUAACCUACCAAUUAUAAAACUCAGCCAUGAGACUGAAACUCUAAAUUCAAGACCAGCAGCCUAGCUGAACACUCUCACUUGUCUACAGAAAAUUACAGGGAUAAGAAAGUGAACUGAUAGUGCUCUGAGCCAAAAGAAG